rnacentral:rRNA from 1 species
UACGAGGGGGGCGAGCGUUGUUCGGAAUUAUUGGGCGUAAAGGGUGCGUAGGCGGUUUGGUAAGUCUUAUGUGAAAUCUACAGGCUCAACUUGUAGUCUGCAUGAGAAACUGCCGGGCUUGAGUGUGGGAGAGGUGAGUGGAAUUCCUGGUGUAGCGGUGAAAUGCGUAGAUAUCAGGAGUAACACCUGUGGCGAAAGCGGCUCACUGGACCAUAACUGACGCUGAUGCACGAAAGCUAGGGGAGCAAACAGG